AUGCUCACUUUGGCAGCACAUAUACUAAAAUUGGAAUGAUGCAAAGAAGAUUAGCAUGGCCCCGCACAAGGGUAACACACAAAUUCCUGAAACAUUCCAUAUUUUU
ensembl:snRNA U6 U6 spliceosomal RNA